rnacentral:rRNA from 1 species
CGUAAACGAUGAGUGCUAAGUGUUAGAGGGUUUCCGCCCUUUAGUGCUGAAGUUAACGCAUUAAGCACUCCGCCUGGGGAGUACGGCCGCAAGGCUGAAACUCAAAGGAAUUGACGGGGGCCCGCACAAGCGGUGGAGCAUGUGGUUUAAUUNGAAGCAACGCGAAGAACCUUACCAGGUCUUGACAUCCUNUGACAACCCUAGAGAUAGGGCUUCUCCUUCGGGAGCAGAGUGACAGGUGGUGCAUGGUUGUCGUCAGCUCGUGUCGUGAGAUGUUGGGUUAAGUCCCGCAACGAGCGCAACCCUUGAUCUUAGUUGCCAUCAUUUAGUUGGGCACUCUAAGGUGACUGCCGGUGACAAACCGGAGGAAGGUGGGGAUGACGUCAAAUCAUCAUGCCCCUUAUGACCUGGGCUACACACGUGCUACAAUGGACGGUACAAAGAGCUGCAAGACCGCGAGGUGGAGCUAAUCUCAUAAAACCGUUCUCAGUUCGGAUUGUAGGCUGCAACUCGCCUACAUGAAGCUGGAAUCGCUAGUAAUCGCGGAUCAGCAUGCCGCGGUGAAUACGUUCCCGGGCCUUGUACACACCGCCCGUCACA